rnacentral:rRNA from 2 species
GGGGAUGGGCCCGCGGCCUAUCAGCUUGUUGGUGGGGUGAUGGCCUACCAAGGCGACGACGGGUAGCCGGCCUGAGAGGGCGACCGGCCACACUGGGACUGAAACACGGCCCAGACUCCUACGGGAGGCAGCAGUGGGGAAUCUUGCGCAAUGGGCGAAAGCCUGACGCAGCGACGCCGCGUGAGGGAUGACGGCCUUCGGGUUGUAAACCUCUUUCAGCUCCGACGAAGCGGAAGUGACGGUAGGAGCAGAAGAAGCACCGGCCAACUACGUGCCAGCAGCCGCGGUAAUACGUAGGGUGCAAGCGUUGUCCGGAAUUAUUGGGCGUAAAGAGCUCGUAGGCGGUCUGUCGCGUCGGCUGUGAAAACUCGGGGCUCAACUCCGAGCUUGCAGUCGAUACGGGCAGGCUAGAGUGCGGCAGGGGAGACUGGAAUUCCUGGUGUAGCGGUGAAAUGCGCAGAUAUCAGGAGGAACACCGGUGGCGAAGGCGGGUCUCUGGGCCGAUACUGACGCUGAGGAGCGAAAGCGUGGGGAGCGAACAGGAUUAGAUACCCUGGUAGUCCACGCCGUAAACGUUGGGCGCUAGGUGUGGGAUCCCUUCCACGGGUUCCGUGCCGCAGCUAACGCAUUAAGCGCCCCGCUUGGGGAGUACGGCCGCAAGGCUAAAACUCAAAGGAAUUGACGGGGGCCCGCACAAGCGGCGGAGCAUGUGGAUUAAUUCGAUGCAACGCGAAGAACCUUACCUGGGUUUGACAUACACCGGAAAGCUGUGGAGACAUGGCCUCCGUAAGGCCGGUGUACAGGUGGUGCAUGGCUGUCGUCAGCUCGUGUCGUGAGAUGUUGGGUUAAGUCCCGCAACGAGCGCAACCCUCGUCCCAUGUUGCCAGCGGGUUAUGCCGGGGACUCAUGGGAGACUGCC